AGCACUCUACGGGAGGCAGCAGUGGGAAUAUUGCACAAUGGGCGCAAGCCUGAUGCAGCCAUGCCGCGUGUAUGAAGAAGGCCUUCGGGUUGUAAAGUACUUUCAGCAGUGAGGAAGGUGGAUAUGUUAAUAGCAUAUUCAUUUGACGUUAGCUGCAGAAGAAGCACCGGCUAACUCCGUGCCAGCAGCCGCGGUAAUACGGAGGGUGCGAGCGUUAAUCGGAAUUACUGGGCGUAAAGCGCAUGCAGGUGGUUUGUUAAGUCAGAUGUGAAAGCCCGGGGCUCAACCUCGGAAUUGCAUUUGAAACUGGCAAACUAGAGUACUGUAGAGGGGGUAGAAUUUCAGGUGUAGCGGUGAAAUGCGUAGAGAUCUGAAGGAAUACCGGUGGCGAAGGCGGCCCCCUGGACAGAUACUGACACUCAGAUGCGAAAGCGUGGGGAGCAAACAGGAUUAGAUACCCUGGUAG
rnacentral:rRNA from 1 species